UGUUACGGCCAUCAAUUACGACACAUACUAAAACCUUUUCCCAACUCUCAUUUCCCCAUACCCGCGACUUAGACCGUGAGCAAAGAUGUUUUAAAUUAUUCAUGAUACUAGAAAGAGAAAUGGCAAAAGAUGCCAAAUCCUCAUCGCUAAGUGUUAGACAAACAGCAAUUUGAAUGUCGCGACCCGUGGACCAUGUUCGUAGUUGAAGCCCAUUAUUAUUCAUAUCUUCUGGUUGGCAGGUAAUGGCCGAAUACCGCAGGAAACUUGCUUCAUCGGGGUUUUUUUGCAUAAAUGGACCAAGCAUGCCACGUAAGUCUAUUGGCGUUGGGCAAUCAAUAGUCAGGCUUCCACAUAAUAAUGGAACAUCUUUGGAAUAGUGCGAACUUGAUGAAUUCAAGCGAUCAAUCGAGGUGUAUGACUGACUGUGCGUCAUUGGUUCAUUGACGGGCGAAGCAGAGAUUUCUGAAUUAAAGUCCAGAUACUCAUUCUUGGAGGAAUUUUCAUAACCGUCGUCUGAGUUACUAUUCACAGUAUGGGUUGGUUGAAGAGGAACGCUAAAAACUCCAGUUUUGUGAAGUGGAGGGAUAGGUGGCUCGUGUUCAUCAAAUGAACGCUCCUCAAAAUCGUAAACUGAAUCUGUGUAAGAAAAAGCAUCUUCUUCCAAGGUCCUUAACGUCUUCAUAUACUCGACUUUUUGAUCGUCAGGAGAUUUUAUCUCAUCAUACUCAUCGUAACAAGGAAAGCUUUUAGAAGAACUCGAACUGAGGGUCGAACUAGAAUAUGCUGUUUCUUCAUCUACACUACUGUGACUGACCCAGUUUCGUAAAUCCUGCGAAUCUUGAGUGUCCUUAGGUUGCAAGAAGGACCGGUGUUUAGCAUUAAUAUAGCUGGGAUUCUGAAAACUCAUGUUGAUGCUUUCAAAAAUUUCCACAAAGCAAGAAAUGAAUAAAAGUGUUUGGGUUGUUUGAUAUUAUAAAUUUUCCAGAUAGCGAUAAUUCCUUGCUUUUAGAGGGCUUAAGACGAUCAAUACCAAAGCCUCAGAACAAGCAGAAUGAUGGACCACAGCUUGCUUUUAUUCCAUUCGAAAUUGUUACUGAUUUCAUUGUUUACAAAUUUAGAAACGAUGUUUGUUUACGAAGCAGAUGCCAUAGUAACGAGGUAGCCAUGCAACGCGUGCGUAGCCUAUGAGAACGUACAGGAGAUGCAGCGCCAUAAUUUGUACUGCGUACUCCGUAAAAUGAGAAUAAUGAGCAAAAGGGUAUAGUAUUUUUUCAACGUUCAAAAGUAACGAACAGUCAAAGAUGCUAGAUGGGGCAAGGAAACGACUAAAAAAUUGAUGUCAGAAUUUCUUGACACAAUAAACAUGAAUUAAAAUUCUUUACUCUAAUCAAAGAAUGAAAUUAAUGAUUUUUAAAUUCAACUCAACUGCUGAUGUUUUGGAAAUUAGUUAAGGUAGGCAGGUGUGUGUAGCACGCACGUUACGUGAUGACAUUUACUUGUGUCAA